rnacentral:rRNA from 1 species
CACGUAGGGCGCAAGCGUUGUCCGGAAUUAUUGGGCGUAAAGAGCUCGUAGGUGGUUUGUUACGUCUGCUGUGAAAACCUAGGGCUUAACCCUGGGCUUGCAGUGGAUACGGGCAGACUAGAGGUAGGUAGGGGAGAAUGGAAUUCCUGGUGUAGCGGUGAAAUGCGCAGAUAUCAGGAGGAACACCGGUGGCGAAGGCGGUUCUCUGGGCUGACACUGACGCUCAUGCACGAAAGCGUGGGGAGCAAACAGG